UUCAUUGAGGCUACCAUUGGAUUUGCAUCCUCCAAACUAUAGCUUGGUCAUUGGAGCAUUGGGAGAAUAUUGAGGUUGCAUGCAAGGCCUAAUCCAUCACAAAGAAAAUCAGCCCAUUUCUCAUUCAUAUGGCCGGCCAAAG
rnacentral:sRNA from 1 species